GUCGUCACAAGUUUUAACUCAAAAUAUACACUAUCUUAACUGAGACACUACUAGCAAAAUCUCCAAAAUGGGUAGCCUCUUACAAACAGCUUUUACUUCUAACUCUGUUCUCUGAUACAGAACUGAACAUUGAGUAAGCUAAAAUCAUGAACAGUGAUUAGUCUGGAAGGAUUAUGUACCUCUCAAGAGCUCAGGUAGUAAUGCAUGAAAGGCAAAAAUCAGGCUUUAGGUUUUAAAAUAAAGACGUUUCUUUUAUUCAUCAUUUUAGUGCUUAUUUUAAGACUCGUUAGAGAGACACAUUUUUCAAUAUUCACGGCUAUUACAAUACUCUGUUAAUGAGCUUUCUGCACCAUGGGGGAGGAGUGAAGUAUGAGAGAGAUUAAGAGAGAGAGAGAGAGAGCAUGCAGGGUUCCUUCAGGAUAUCAGUAAGAAAGGCCUGACAAGAAAUGGCAUAAUAAAAUAGGUAUUUUAAUAAGGUAGAAUAAAAAGAGGAUUACAGACAGCAAGUAAAUCAUCCUUCACUUCAGAUUCUGUGGGCUACACAUUCAUGCAGCUUCAGAUGGACCCCAUAUGGAUUUUUCUCAUGGUAUACUGUAGAAACUCUGUUUCUGGAGACAGACUCCUCUUCCAUCCUGAACAGUGGUGCCCUUUGUUUUGCAUAACAAACAAAAUUACUGGUGUCCUGACAAUCUGUAAUGUUAUCUCUGUCACAACAUCCACAGCAUACAGCAUAGCCUGGGGCACUCCAGCAGAUUCCUUCACAGUGACUGGUCAUGCUAAGACAUGUCAGGGUGCAGAGGUUCUGAAUAGUCUUCACGUUGGUGUUGUGUGGCAGGGUGAGAAUUCUCCUUUUAUUCAGAAUUUCCUGCUAUAUGUAGAGUUGCAUUAAUUAUGCCAGCACUAUUGAUGCCAGCACUAAAGAUGUUGAAAACAUAGAAUAGUACAGAAGGUUUGCUUAAUAAAGUUCGUCCAGAUUUUCUAUAUGAAUAGUGU
rnacentral:lncRNA from 1 species